UAAACCAAGAGAAGACAUACCUGAGCAAUUGAACCAGAAGGGAUGAGACCCACCUGGAUCUGAUGCAGAUUAAAAUAUCUUGGACCUUGGGCCUGAGCUUGGAAUGGAAUGAGACCUUUGAGGAUCUUAGUGGGGAUGAUACCCAACCAUUGUGAACAAGCUCUGUCAACACCAUCUGCUCCACAAAGGAAAGUUGCUGAUUAUUGCAUCUCUGAGUGGAGUCGGUUCUCUCACACGAUAGCAGAAGGGCAACAAAAUAAGAAGAAGAGGAAGAAGGAGAAGGAGAAGUAGAAGGAGAAGGAGAAGGAGAAAGAAGAAGGAGAAAGAGAAGAAGAAGGAGAAGAAGGAGAAGAAGAAGAAGGAGAGGAGGAAGAGGAAGAAAAAGAAGAAGAGAAAUAAAUAAAUAAUGAAGGAAUGGGAAGGUAUGGGAAGAGGAGGAGAGGCAAAAAGGAAAAAGAAAUAAGAAAGGAGGAAAGAGAAAUAAGGAAAGAGGGAAUGUAUUAGUCUGUUCUCACAUGGCUAAUAAAGACAUACUCAAGGCUGGGUAAUUUAUAAAGAAAG